GUGUGUGUGUAUUUGUGUGUGUCAGAGAGUUGCUUAUCUGUUGCCACUAGGACUUUAUUGAAGCCCAAAGAUUCACACUGCAGCCAUUUUCAGUGCUGUUGCAACAUUUCAAAUGAUGCAGACCUUCCGAAUAAUGCUAAUGUGUAGAUAAAGUACAUCAGAGCUUAAAUGCUGUAACCAUGGCAACAACUCACGUGACUUUGCGGUUUACUGACACCGUAACACUCAAACCCUGACUGACUGACAGACAGAGGAAAAAACCAAAGUAAUCCAGCGAAUUCAAGAUGGAUGCCGUCUCCCUUACGCUUCGGUUGGGACCAGGGAAGGCGGAAAAGGCCGAAGUGUCGGAUUGCAUCAGCCACGAGAAGCCAAUCAGGUUCAACUUCCCGAGAGCCCCCCACGUUCAGGCUCGUAGUGUUAACCCCAAGGACAGAGGUAAAAGUGUUGAGUAAACCUUUAAGAAGGCAAAGCAACAUGGAGAAGAAAGAUAGAAAGAAGGAAAAGAAAGAAGAGGCAAAAGAGAUGAAGAACAGGGAGAUGAAAGAAGAAAAGGAAAAGAAGAACAGACGAAAGCAAGAAGAAAAAGAAAGACUUGCGAAAGUAAAAGAAGAAGAACAGGAAAAGAGAAGAGAAAAGCAAAGAAAGAAGAGCGAAAAGGAAGAUGAAAGAAAUAAGAAAGAAAAAGAGGAAGAAAAGCAGGGGAUGACACACGA